UACGUAGGGUGCAAGCGUUGUCCGGAAUUAUUGGGCGUAAAGGGCGUGUAGGCGGGAAGGAAAGUCAGAUGUGAAAUCCCCCAGGCUCAACCUGGGAACUGCAUUUGAAACUCCCUUUCUUGAGUACCGGAGAGGAAAGUGGAAUUCCUGGUGUAGAGGUGAAAUUCGUAGAUAUCAAGCGGAACACCGGUGGCGAAGGCGGCCUUCUGGACAGUGACUGACGCUGAGACGCGAAAGCGUAGGGAGCAAACAGG
rnacentral:rRNA from 1 species